rnacentral:rRNA from 1 species
GACGUAGGGCGCGAGCGUUGUCCGGAUUUAUUGGGCGUAAAGAGCUCGUAGGCGGCUUGUCGCGUCGUCCGUGAAAACCUGGGGCUCAACCCCAGGCUUGCGGUCGAUACGGGCAGGCUCGAGUUCGGUAGGGGAGACUGGAAUUCCUGGUGUAGCGGUGAAAUGCGCAGAUAUCAGGAGGAACACCGGUGGCGAAGGCGGGUCUCUGGGCCGAUACUGACGCUGAGGAGCGAAAGCGUGGGGAGCGAACGGG